CGUAGGGUGCGAGCGUUAAUCGGAAUUACUGGGCGUAAAGCGUGCGCAGGCGGUUUGUUAAGAUAGGCGUGAAAUCCCCGGGCUCAACCUGGGAACUGCGCUUAUGACUGGCAAGCUAGAGUACGGCAGAGGGGGUGGAAUUCCACGUGUAGCAGUGAAAUGCGUAGAGAUGUGGAGGAACACCAAUGGCGAAGGCAGCCCCCUGGGUCGAUACUGACGCUCAUGCACGAAAGCGUGGGUAGCAAACAGGAUUAGAUACCCUGGUAGUCCACGCCCUAAACGAUGUCAACUAGGUGUUGGGAGGGUAAAACCUUUAGUACCGGAGCUAACGCGUGAAGUUGACCGCCUGGGGAGUACGGCCGCAAGGUUA
rnacentral:rRNA from 1 species